CUACGGGGCGCUGCAGUUAGGAAUAAUCUACAAUGCACGAAAGUGUGAUAGUUUGAGUCAAAGUGCGUUUCAAUUUGAAAUGCUUUUAUGGAAUGUAAAAAGUUCCACGAAUAAGGACUGGGUAAGACAGGUGCCAGCCGCCGCGGUAAUACCUGCGGUCCAAGUCGCAGCCAUUUUUAUUGGGUCUAAAGCAUCCGUAGCUUGCUUGGUAAGUUUCUUGUGAAAUUCCAUAUCUUAAAUAUGGAGCGGGCAGGAAGUACUGCCAAGCUAGAGACUGGGAGACGUAAGAAGUACGUUCGAAGUAGCGGUAAAAUGUGUUAAUCUCGAGCGGACUCACAACAGCGAAGGCAUCUUACGAGAACAGUUCUGACAGUAAGGGAUGAAGGCUAGGGGCGCAAAACGGAUUAGAUACCCUGGUAGUC
rnacentral:rRNA from 1 species